CGCGGGCGAGGCGAUGGCGAUCCCCCGCGGCCUAAACAGAAAACGGAGGCGAUGAUCUGGGUAACUUCGUGCGGAGUGGGAGGAAACAUGCUCUGCACAGUUAAGAUAACCUGGGUCUCCAGAGCACCAUCACUUCCAAGACUGUGACCUGCUUACAGGUCCACUCUUCUACCCCCACAGUCCAUGGGCCCACCCUGGGGGCCACGGCUUAUCGAUCCUUCCACGUAUCAGCCCAGGGAUCCCUGCAGCUUUCUGAAUAAAGGCUGCAAAUGAACAAAGUGUGCUUGCAAAUCAACAUAAAACCAGGCUUUCGAUACUGCUUCUCCGCCUGUCUGCUUCCACACUUCUCACUGAUGGACUUCCCACCUCCCCUGGGCACCCUGUCUCCUUUUCCAUCCGUGCUGACCCUUUGGCUUAGUGACUCAGCUUUUGGAUUGGCCACUUGGCUGGGCCCUUGGGCCCUGUAAGACUGAGCUUCCUGUAUCUGCUCCCUGUCAACUCUGAGUCAGCCAAACAGCUGAGGUCAUUCUCAACUUGUCACCACUGAUGGGGACAGAGAGCCAACACUACCAGUCACCCAGGCUGGAAAUUUAAGCAUCAUCAUUUCUUCUUUUUCUUCCCAGCCCUCCCAUCCCUGCUCACAGGCCAGGCAGUUCCACUCCAGGAAUAUUCCACCCCAGGUGUACAUAUUUCCUUCUGAAGCCCCAUCCCCAUACGGCUUGAGAUCGGGGCCCAUCAUUCCCCCAGUAAACUACUGUCCAGCCUCCUGCCUCACCUCUA